CCUCCGUUAGGGGGACUGCGGAGGGAUCAUUGCUGGAACGCGCCCCAGGCGCACCCAGAAACCCUUUGUGAACUUAUACCUUACUGUUGCCUCGGCGCAUGCUGGCCCCCCCGGGGGCCCCUCGGAGACGAGGAGCAGGCACGCCGGCGGCCAAGUUAACUCUUGUUUUUACACUGAAACUCUGAGAAAAAAACACAAAUGAAUCAAAACUUUCAACAACGGAUCUCUUGGUUCUGGCAUCGAUGAAGAACGCAGCGAAAUGCGAUAAGUAAUGUGAAUUGCAGAAUUCAGUGAAUCAUCGAAUCUUUGAACGCACAUUGCGCCCUCUGGUAUUCCGGAGGGCAUGCCUGUUCGAGCGUCAUUUCAACCCUCAAGCAUUGCUUGGUGUUGGGGCACUGCCUGUAAAAGGGCAGGCCCUGAAAUCUAGUGGCGAGCUCGCCAGGACCCCGAGCGCAGUAGUUAAACCCUCGCUUUGGAAGGCCCUGGCGGUGCCCUGCCGUUAAACCCCCAACUUUUGAAAAUUUGACCUCGGAUCAGGUAGGAAUACCCGCUGAACUUAAGCAUAUCAAA
rnacentral:rRNA from 1 species